rnacentral:rRNA from 1 species
AGAGUUUGUCCUGGCUCAGGAUGAACGCUAGCGGCAGGCCUAAUACAUGCAAGUCGAACGGUGAUAGCAAUAUCAUAGUGGCGCACGGGUGCGUAACACGUAUGCAACCUACCUAUUAUUGGGGGACAGCCUUUGGAAACGGAGAUUAAUACCGCAUAAUACGAUUGACUGGCAUCGGUUGAUUGUUAAAGCUUCGGCGAUAAUAGAUGGGCAUGCGUCCAAUUAGUUAGUUGGUUAGGUAACGGCUGACCAAGACGAUGAUUGGUAGGGGAUCUGAGAGGAUAAUCCCCCACACUGGCACUGAGAUACGGGCCAGACUCCUACGGGAGGCAGCAGUAGGGAAUAUUGGGCAAUGGGCGGAAGCCUGACCCAGCCAUGCCGCGUGCAGGAAGAAGGCGUUAUGCGUUGUAAACUGCUUUUUUAUAGGAAGAAGGAUCCCUUGCGAGGGAAGGUGACGGUACUAUAAGAAUAAGCACCGGCUAACUCCGUGCCAGCAGCCGCGGUAAUACGGAGGGUGCAAGCGUUGUCCGGAUUUAUUGGGUUUAAAGGGUGCGUAGGCGGUUUAUUAAGUCAGUGGUGAAAGACGGUCGCUCAACGAUUGCAGUGCCAUUGAUACUGGUAGACUUGAGUGAG